rnacentral:rRNA from 1 species
GACGAACGCUGGCGGCGUGCUUAACACAUGCAAGUCGAACGGAAAGGCCCUGCUUUUGUGGGGUGCUCGAGUGGCGAACGGGUGAGUAACACGUGAGUAACCUGCCCUUGACUUUGGGAUAACUUCAGGAAACUGGGGCUAAUACCGGAUAGGAGCUCCUGCUGCAUGGUGGGGGUUGGAAAGUUUCGGCGGUUGGGGAUGGACUCGCGGCUUAUCAGCUUGUUGGUGGGGUAGUGGCUUACCAAGGCUUUGACGGGUAGCCGGCCUGAGAGGGUGACCGGCCACAUUGGGACUGAGAUACGGCCCAGACUCCUACGGGAGGCAGCAGUGGGGAAUAUUGCACAAUGGGCGGAAGCCUGAUGCAGCAACGCCGCGUGCGGGAUGACGGCCUUCGGGUUGUAAACCGCUUUCGCCUGUGACGAAGCGUGUGUGACGGUAAUGGGUAAAGAAGCACCGGCUAACUACGUG